rnacentral:rRNA from 1 species
AGCGUUUCGCUUUGUGUGGUGCACAAAGAAGCGUAACGACAGCACUGAAUGACGGUUAACGGAGCGCAAGCGACGUUCAACAUACAAAGUCAAGCAGUGGAGCGCUUUGGGGUGGGGUGACUGCGUACCUUUUGUAUAAUGGGUCAGCGACUUAUAUUCUGUAGCAAGGUUAACCGAAUAGGGGAGCCGGAGGGAAACCGAGUCUUAACCGGGCGUUAAGUUGCAGGGUAUAGACCCGAAACCCGGUGAUCUAGCCAUGGGCAGGUUGAAGGUUGGGUAACACUAACUGGAGGACCGAACCGACUAAUGUUGAAAAAUUAGCGGAUGACCUGUGGCUGGGGGUGAAAGGCCAAUCAAACCGGGAGAUAGCUGGUUCUCCCCGAAAGCUAUUUAGGUAGCGCCUCGUGAAUUCAUCUCCGGGGGUAGAGCACUGUUUCGGCUAGGGGGCCAUCCCGGCUUACCAACCCGAUGCAAACUGCGAAUACCGGAGAAUGUUAUCACGGGAGACACACGGCGGGUGCUAACGUCCGUCGUGAAGAGGGAAACAACCCAGACCGCCAGCUAAGGUCCCAAAGUCAUGGUUAAGUGGGAAACGAUGUGGGAAGGCCCAGACAGCCAGGAUGUUGGCUUAGAAGCAGCCAUCAUUUAAAGAAAGCGUAAUAGCUCACUGGUCGAGUCGGCCUGCGCGGAAGAUGUAACGGGGCUAAACCAUGCACCGAAGCUGCGGCAGCGACGCUUAUGCGUUGUUGGGUAGGGGAGCGUUCUGUAAGCCUGUGAAGGUGGCCUGUGAGGGUUGCUGGAGGUAUCAGAAGUGCGAAUGCUGACAUAAGUAACGAUAAAGCGGGUGAAAAGCCCGCUCGCCGGAAGACCAAGGGUUCCUGUCCAACGUUAAUCGGGGCAGGGUGAGUCGACCCCUAAGGCGAGGCCGAAAGGCGUAGUCGAUGGGAAACGGGUUAAUAUUCCCGUACUUGGUGUUACUGCGAAGGGGGGACGGAGAAGGCUAUGUUGGCCGGGCGACGGUUGUCCCGGUUUAAGCGUGUAGGUGUGUGUUCCAGGUAAAUCCGGUU